UACGGAGGGUGCAAGCGUUAUCCGGAUUUACUGGGUUUAAAGGGUGCGUAGGUUGAUUGGUAAGUUAGGGGUGAAAUACUACAGCGCAACUGUGGAACUGCCAUUAAUACUAUCAAUCUUGAAUGCAGUGGAGGCGGGCGGAAUGUGUCAUGUAGCGGUGAAAUGCUUAGAUAUGACACAGAACACCAAUUGCGAAGGCAGCUUGCUACACUGUGAUUGACACUGAGGCACGAAAGCGUGGGGAUCAAACAGG
rnacentral:rRNA from 1 species